rnacentral:rRNA from 1 species
GAAAGGGUGGCUAAUACCGCAAAUGUCGGUGCUUCGGUGCGCUGACUGAACCGUUAGGGUUCGAGGAGGGGCCCGCGGCCGAUUAGCUAGCUGGUGGGGUAACGGCCUACCAGGGCGACGAUCGGUAGCUGGUCUGAGAGGAUGAUCAGCCAGACUGGGACUGCGAGACGGCCCAGACUCCUACGGGAGGCAGCAGUUAGGAAUUUUGGGCAAUGGGGGAAACCCUGACCCAGCAACGCCGCGUGGGUGAUGAAGGCCCUCGGGUCGUAAAGCCCUUUUCCCAGGGAAGAUAGUGACGGUACCUGGGGAUCAGCCCCGGCUAACUACGUGCCAGCAGCCGCGGUAAUACGUAGGGGGCAAGCGUUGUCCGGAUUUAUUGGGCGUAAAGCGCUCGCAGGCGGCCUGAUGCGUCGUGCGUGAAACACCCCGGCUCAACUGGGGAGGGUCGUGCGAUACGGUCAGGCUCAAGUCCAGUAGGGGGACGCGGAAUUCCGGGUGUAGUGGUGGAAUGCGUAGAGAUCCGGAGGAACACCAGCGGCGAAGGCGGCGUCCUGGACUGGUACUGACGCUCAUGAGCGAAAGCGUGGGGAGCGAUCCGGAUUAGAUACCCGGGUAGUCCACGCCGUAAACGAUGAGUACUAGGUGUCGGGGGUAUCGACCCCCUCGGUGCCGCAGCUAACGCGAUAAGUACUCCGCCUGGGGACUACGGCCGCAAGGCUAAAACUCAAAGGAAUUGACGGGGGCCCGCACAAGCAGCGGAGCGUGUGGUUUAAUUCGACGCAACGCGAAGAACCUUACCUGGGCUUGACAUGCACGUGGUACGACCGUGAAAGCGGAAGGACCCGCAAGGGAGCGUGCGCAGAUGCUGCAUGGCUGUCGUCAGCUCGUGCCGUGAGGUGUUGGGUUAAGUCCCGCAACGAGCGCAACCCUCGCUGCCAGUUACCAUGUCUGGCGGGACCGCCGGGUCCAACCCGGAGGAAGGUGGGGAUGACGUCAAGUCAGCACGGCUCUUAUGUCCAGGGCUACACACACGCUACAAUGGCCGGUACAACGCGCAGCAAUGGGGCGACCCGGAGCGAAUCGCAUCAAAGCCGGUCUCAGUUGGGAUUGCAGGCUGCAACUCGCCUGCAUGAACGCGGAGUUGCUAGUAACCGCAGGUCAGCACACUGCGGUGAAUACGUUCCCGGGCCUUGUACACACCGCCCGUCACGUCAUGAAAGUUGGAGACGCCUGGAGUC